rnacentral:rRNA from 1 species
UGGGGAAUUUUGGACAAUGGGCGAAAGCCUGAUCCAGCAAUGCCGCGUGUGUGAAGAAGGCCUUCGGGUUGUAAAGCACUUUUGUCCGGAAAGAAAUCCUUGGCUCUAAUACAGUCGGGGGAUGACGGUACCGGAAGAAUAAGCACCGGCUAACUACGUGCCAGCAGCCGCGGUAAUACGUAGGGUGCAAGCGUUAAUCGGAAUUACUGGGCGUAAAGCGUGCGCAGGCGGUUUGCUAAGACCGAUGUGAAAAUCCCCGGGCUCAACCUGGGAACUGCAUUGGUGACUGGCAGGCUAGAGUAUGGCAGAGGGGGGUAGAAUUCCACGUGUAGCAGUGAAAUGCGUAGAGAUGUGGAGGAAUACCGAUGGCGAAGGCAGCCCCCUGGGCCAAAUACUGACGCUCAUGCACGAAAAGCGUGGGGAGCAAAACAGGAUUAGAUACCCUGGUAGUCCACGCCCUAAAACGAUGUCAACUAGUUGUUGGGGAUUCAUUUCCUUAGUAACGUAGCUAAACGCGUGAAGUUGACCGCCUGGGGAGUACGGUCGCAAAGAUUAAAAACUUAAAGGAAUUGACGAGGUCAUAGCUG